rnacentral:rRNA from 1 species
CUCCAGACUCCUACGGGAGGCAGCAGUGAGGAAUAUUGGUCAAUGGCCGGAAGGCUGAACCAGCCAAGUCGCGUGAGGGACGACUGCCCUAUGGGUUGUAAACCUCUUUUAUAAGGGAAGAAUAAAUGCUACGUGUAGCAUGAUGCCUGUACCUUAUGAAUAAGCAUCGGCUAACUCCGUGCCAGCAGCCGCGGUAAUACGGAGGAUGUGAGCGUUAUCCGGAUUUAUUGGGUUUAAAGGGUGCGUAGGCGGGCUUUUAAGUCAGCGGUAAAAAUUCGGGGCUCAACCCCGUCCGGCCGUUGAAACUGGGGAUCUUGAGUGGGCGAGAAGUAUGCGGAAUGCGUGGUGUAGCGGUGAAAUGCAUAGAUAUCACGCAGAACUCCGAUUGCGAAGGCAGCAUACCGGCGCCCGACUGACGCUGAGGCACGAAAGCGUGGGGAUCGAACAGGAUUAGAUACCCUUGUAGUU